CCUGUUGUAGAUAUGGGUUGACCAUGGAUGGAUUGGGAAGCAGGUAUAUAUAUAUAUGUGCAGAUCAGUUGUGUGCCUGUGAUGAUGUAUUGCGAUAUCUUGUCCAGGUUUAUAUUGUAGCAGGUUAUAUGUGCUGCUCUGACAGGUGGGGUUGUGUAUGUAUUGAUAUAUCCUGACAGGUAAAUAUAGAAAUAGGAAAAGUGAUCAUUUUGUGCAUGUAUCAUGCCAAAAU
rnacentral:lncRNA from 1 species